rnacentral:rRNA from 1 species
CCUACGGGUGGCUGCAGUGGGGAAUAUUGGACAAUGGGGGCAACCCUGAUCCAGCCAUGCCGCGUGUGUGAAGAAGUCCCUCGGGUUGUAAAGCACUUUCAGUGAGGAAGAACGCCUGGUGGUUAAUACCCAUCAGGAAAGACAUCACUCACAGAAGAAGCACCGGCUAACUCCGUGCCAGCAGCCGCGGUAAUACGGAGGGUGCGAGCGUUAAUCGGAAUUACUGGGCGUAAAGCGCGCGUAGGUGGCUUGAUAAGCCGGUUGUGAAAGCCCCGGGCUCAACCUGGGAACGGCAUCCGGAACUGUCAAGCUAGAGUGCAGGAGAGGAAGGUAGAAUUCCCGGUGUAGCGGUGAAAUGCGUAGAGAUAGGGAGGAAUACCAGUGGCGAAGGCGGCCUUCUGGACUGACACUGACACUGAGGUGCGAAAGCGUGGGUAGCAAACAGGAUUAGAUACCCUGGUAGUC